AGGAUUCCCCUAGUAGCGGCGAGCGAACAGGGAAGAGCCCAGCGCCGAAUCCCACGGACCGAGAGGCCCGAUCGGGAAAUGUGGCGUUAAGGAGGAUCCGCAAGUCCCGAAGUCGCGUUUGCGGCAAGUCCAAGUCCUUCUUGAAAGAGGCCGAUCCACCCGCAGAGGGUGCCAGGCCCGUAGGACUGUCGCCCGGCGACGGGUCGGAUCCCUCCCUAGAGUCGGGUUGCUCGAGAUUGCAGCCCUAAGCAGGUGGUAAACUCCAUCUAAGGCUAAAUACGACCACGAGACCGAUAGCGAACAAGUACCGCGAGGGAAAGUUGAAAAGAACUUUGAAGAGAGAGUUCAAGAGUACGUGAAACCGUUCAGGGGUGAACCUGAGAAACCCGAAAGGUCGAAAGCCGAGAUACAGCGUUCGUCCGCGUCAUCAGUGGCGGACGCGGCGACGUGCACUUUUCGGCGAGUAGGACGUCGCGACCCGUUGGGAGUCGCCGACGCUUCACGGGGACGCGCGGGAAGCUCGGAAAGACGCGCGGGCGGCGGCGUUCGCGCCUCCGUUCCGCGUCCUCCGAACCCGUCCGCGUCUUCAUCGCGCUCGGCACGCCCGACGCGACGCUCACCGAACACUUACGUACGACGAAACGGCGGAGCGCCUCGCGCGCGUCCGACCCGUCGUCGUUCGAGACGCGCCGCGCGGUACCGGCAGAUUCGAUCGGCCUCCGCGCCCUCGACUCCGGGAAACGCGCGCUCCGACGCGACGGUGCUCUCGGGCACACACAACAGUGGUGGCCCCGCCGUCCGUCUGCGACGCUAUGGCUUUGGGUAAUCUCAGGACCCGUCUUGAAACACGGACCAAGGAGUCCAACGUGCGCGCGAGUCAAUGGGCGCUCAAAUAUAAACCCAAAGGCGAAGCGAAAGCGAAGGGAAGAAAGCGCCCCUCUCGGGGGGCGCGAUCGACCCGUUGGGAAGAUGGGCGGCGCCUGGUCGCCGCCCCGCAUUCCCGGGGCGUCUCGCCACGAUACGCUCGCGUUCGGCUCGCGCCGACGCGCCGCGCAUCGGAGACGCACCUCUAGCGCGCACGCUGGGACCCGAAAGAUGGUGAACUAUGCCUGGUCAGGACGAAGUCAGGGGAAACCCUGAUGGAGGUCCGCAGCGAUUCUGACGUGCAAAUCGAUCGUCAGAACUGGGUAUAGGGGCGAAAGACCAAUCGAACCGUCUAGUAGCUGGUUCCCUCCGAAGUUUCCCUCAGGAUAGCUGGCGCUCGCAUCGAGAGAGUCUCAUGCGGUAAAGCGAAUGAUUAGAGCGAAUCGGGGUCGAAACGACCUCUACCUAUUCUCAAACUUUAAAUGUGUGAGAUCUCCGGCUUGCCCGAGCGACGAAGCCGCGAGAUCG
rnacentral:rRNA from 1 species